UGGCGAAGGCGGCCCCCUGGACGAGACUGACGCUCAGGUGCGAAAGCGUGGGGAGCAACAGGAUUAGAUACCUGGUAGUCCACGCUGUAAACGAUGUCGAUUUGGAGGUUGUGCCCUUGAGGCGUGGCUUCCGGAGCUAACGCGUUAAAUCGACCGCCUGGGGAGUACGGCCGCAAGGUUAAAACUCAAAUGAAUUGACGGGGGCCCGCACAAGCGGUGGAGCAUGUGGUUUAAUUCGAUGCAACGCGAAGAACCUUACCUACUCUUGACAUCCAGAGAACUUUCCAGAGAUGGAUUGGUGCCUUCGGGAACUCUGAGACAGGUGCUGCAUGGCUGUCGUCAGCUCGUGUUGUGAAAUGUUGGGUUAAGUCCCGCAACGAGCGCAACCCUUAUCCUUUGUUGCCAGCGGUUCGGCCGGGAACUCAAAGGAGACUGCCAGUGAUAAACUGGAGGAAGGUGGGGAUGACGUCAAGUCAUCAUGGCCCUUACGAGUAGGGCUACACACGUGCUACAAUGGCGUAUACAAAGAGAAGCGACCUCGCGAGAGCAAGCGGACCUCAUAAAGUACGUCGUAGUCCGGAUUGGAGUCUGCAACUCGACUCCAUGAAGUCGGAAUCGCUAGUAAUCGUAGAUCAGAAUGCUACGGUGAAUACGUUCCCGGGCCUUGUACACACCGCCCGUCACACCAUGGGAGUGGGUUGCAAAAGAAGUAGGUAGCUUAACCUUCGGGAGGGCGCUUACCACUUUGUGAUUCAUGACUGGGGUGAAGUCGUAACAAGGUAACCA
rnacentral:rRNA from 1 species